rnacentral:rRNA from 1 species
UGGGGAAUAUUGGACAAUGGGCGAAAGCCUGAUCCAGCCAUGCCGCGUGUGUGAAGAAGGUCUUCGGAUUGUGAAGCACUUUAAGUUGGGAGGAAGGGCAUUAACCUAAUACGUUAGUGUUUUGACGUUACCGACAGAAUAAGCACCGGCUAACUCUGUGCCAGCAGCCGCGGUAAUACAGAGGGUGCAAGCGUUAAUCGGAAUUACUGGGCGUAAAGCGCGCGUAGGUGGUUUGUUAAGUUGGAUGUGAAAUCCCCGGGCUCAACCUGGGAACUGCAUUCAAAACUGACUGACUAGAGUAUGGUAGAGGGUGGUGGAAUUUCCUGUGUAUCGGUGAAAUGCGUAGAUAUAGGAAGGAACACCAGUGGCGAAGGCGACCACCUGGACUAAUACUGACACUGAGGUGCGAAAGCGUGGGGAGCAAACA